AUUGAACGCUGGCGGCAGGCCUAACACAUGCAAGUCGAGCGGAUGAAGGGAGCUUGCUCCUGGAUUCAGCGGCGGACGGGUGAGUAAUGCCUAGGAAUCUGCCUGGUUGUGGGGGAUAAUGUCCGGAAACGGGCGCUAAUACCGCAUACGUCCUGAGGGAGAAAGUGGGGGAUCUUCGGACCUCACGCUAUCAGAUGAGCCUAGGUUGGAUUAGCUAGUUGGUGGGGUAAAGGCCUACCAAGGCGACGAUCCGUAACUGGUCUGAGAGGAUGAUCAGUCACACUGGAACUGGACCACGGUCCAGACUCCUACGGGAGGCAGCAGUGGGGAAUGUUGGACAGUGGGCGAAAGCCUGAUACAACCAUGCCGCGUGUGUGAAGAAGGUCUUCGGAUUGUAAAGCACUUUAAGUUGGGGGGAAGGGCAGUAAGUUAAUACCUUGCUGUUUUGACGUUACCAACAGAAUAAGCACCGGCUAACUUCGUG
rnacentral:rRNA from 1 species